rnacentral:misc_RNA from 1 species
GGCAAUUUCAAGUAAAAUAAAGGAAUAGUGAAUGAAUAUGUGCAUAGGAUAUAGCCCGUAUACAUUGGUAUACAUCAUUUGGGCAGCGAUAUACAAAUGUUAAAAUAGUAUAAAAAUUGUACAGGUAUAAAUACGCCGAAAUAAUAUGGAAAAUACAGGUGGAAUCGCGAGAAUUCGUAUUCAAACAGAUUACAGGGCUCAAAAGGUCCAAAACGGAAUUGGAUAUACACCAUACACAACAGUAUACAUCAUUUGUAUAUCCUAUUUCUUUUUUCAGGAAAAUGGGCCAGGGCCCUUUCAGCAAAAAUUUUUAGUGUAAAUUAGGUAAAG